rnacentral:tRNA from 1 species
CAGUAAAUAGUUUAUUAAAAUAAUAAUUUUGGAGAUUAUUGAUAUAGUUAAAAAUCAUAUAAAACUAUUUUAUUGA